rnacentral:rRNA from 1 species
CCUACGGUGGGCAGCAGUGAGGAAUAUUGGUCAAUGGCCGUAAGGCUGAACCAGCCACGUCGCGUGAAGGAAGAAGGAUCUAUGGUUUGUAAACUUCUUUUAUAGGGGAAUAAAGGUAUCUACGUGUGGAUAUUUGCAUGUACCCUAUGAUUCAGCAUCGGCUAAUUCUGUGCCAGCAGCCGCGGUAAUACGGAGUAUGCGAGCGUUAUCCGGGUUUAUUGGGUUUAAUGGGUGCGUAGGUUGUUUGUUAAGUCAGCGGUGAAAGUUUGUGGCUCAACCAUAAAAUUGCCGUUGAAACUGGAAGACUUGAGUGUGUUUGAGGUAGGCGGAAUGCGUGGUGUAGCGGUGAAAUGCAUAGAUAUCACGCAGAACACCGAUUGCGAAGGCAGCUUACUAAGCCAUAACUGACACUGAAGCACGAAAGCGUGGGGAUCAAACAGGAUUAGAUACCCUAGUAGUC